GACGGGGGGGGGGGCAAGUGUUCUUCGGAAUGACUGGGCGUAAAGGGCACGGAGGCGGUGAAUCGGGUUGAAAGUGAAAGUCGCCAAAAAGUGGCGGAAUGCUCUCGAAACCAAUUCACUUGAGUGAGACAGAGGAGAGUGGAAUUUCGUGUGUAGGGCUGAAAUCCGUAGAUCUACGAAGGAACGCCAAAAGCGAAGGCAGCUCUCUGGGUCCCUACCGACGCUGGGGUGCGAAAGCAUGGGGAGCGAACAGA
rnacentral:rRNA from 1 species